AGAUGAGUAGCCACAGCUGUAACUGGGGCACACGGCAAUAAACACAGUGGAGCCGAUUUCUGCGAUGGCGAGAGAGGGGGCAUCAGAGUUGACAGCAACGACAAGGACCCAAGGACCGUCCUUCUGACAAGUUUCAGAUUUGCAGCCUCAUGGAGUGAGUGACGGAGUGGUUUGCCAACUUGUAGUGACUCCACUCAGCGGCGCAGAAUGGCUGUGGGAAAUGUGUAUUCAGAUAAGCCCAAAGAAGUCUGCCCAGGGUGAAAUACGUACCUUUGAAGUUUAAAUCAGAAAGGAAGGAGAGGCUGUUUCUACAGGUGUCAGAGAAAAAUCGAUACUGAGCCACGGAUUAUUGAAUCCCGUAGAACCAUGGAG